rnacentral:misc_RNA from 1 species
GAAUGAUCGAUUUCUCUUAUCCUUAUUUAACUGGUUAUACAUUUUUGAAGAUUAACUCAAUUCCUUUCGAACAUCUGUUUAUGCCGCCUUAUUAAGAAAUGGGAAUGUACAUUUUGCAAUGGCAGGAUAUAUGAUUGCAUGGUUGGAUAUCUUCUUCUUCUUUUUUUGGUUUACUACUGUGUGUAUUGUGUGAUUGUGGUGAUAGAUGUCAUCGACUGGUACUUGGGAUUUGACACAUGAUGUUUUAUUAUUGUAAGGGACACAUUCUGAAGAUUAAG